rnacentral:tmRNA from 1 species
GGGGACGAGUGGUUUCGACAGAGGAGGAGCGCUACAGGAUUGCAGGCCGAGGUGCCACUUAUCUCGCAAAACAAGUGGCAAAAAAGUAACUGACGAAUACGUCUACGCUAGCUAAGCGAGACACGUCCCCCUAGCCUCCCUCGAUGGGCUUUGGAUGACGACGAGCAGUCGAGGUGCGGCAAUCCUGACGUCGAUAAGGGUUGCCAAAGAAUUUAUCGACUGGCGCAACCGUCCUCGGUCGGCAGAGGACGGUUGGGUGAGAGCAAAGAGCCGACUAAGCUUGUAGCAUAUCCUGGGGGGACCUUCUCUGGACGGGGAGUUCGACUCUCCCCCGUCUCCACCA